UACGUAGGGGGCAAGCGUUGUCCGGAUUUAUUGGGCGUAAAGAGCGUGUAGGCGGUUAGAUAGGUCUGCUGUGAAAACUCCAGGCUCAACCUGGAGACGUCGGUGGAAACCAUCUGGCUAGAGUCCGGAAGAGGAGAGUGGAAUUCCUGGUGUAGCGGUGAAAUGCGCAGAUAUCAGGAAGAACACCCGUGGCGAAGGCGGCUCUCUGGGACGGUACUGACGCUGAGACGCGAAAGCGUGGGGAGCGAACAGG
rnacentral:rRNA from 1 species